rnacentral:rRNA from 1 species
UACGUAGGGGGCGAGCGUUGUCCGGAGUUACUGGGCGUAAAGCGCACGCAGGCGGUCUGCUAAGUUUGGAGUGACAGUUGGUGGCUUAACUGCCAAAGUGCUUCGAAAACUGACAGACUUGAGGGCUUCAGAGGGACACGGAAUUCCGGGUGGAGUGGUGAAAUGUGUAGAGAUCCGGAGGAACACCAAAGGCGAAGGCAGUGUCCUGGGGAGUACCUGACGCUCAGGUGCGAAAGCCAGGGGAGCGAACGGG